rnacentral:rRNA from 1 species
GGAUUAGAUACCCUGGUAGUCCACGCCGUAAACGAUGUGCACUAGGUCGCGGAGGUUCUGACACCGUCGCGGUCGUAGCAAAAGUGUUAAGUGCACCGCCUGGGGAGUACGGUCGCAAGGCUAAAACUCAAAGGAAUUGACGGGGGCUCACACAAGCGGUGGAGCAUGUGGAUUAAUUCGAAGCAACGCGCAGAACCUUACCUGGGUUUGACAUGUUUGGAUGCCUAUCUGGAAACAGAGUCGGCUGCCCUCGGGUGAAACUUACACAGGUGCUGCAUGGCUGUCGUCAGCUCGUGCCG